AACGAACGCUGGCGGCAUGCCUAACACAUGCAAGUCGAACGAGACCUUCGGGUCUAGUGGCGCACGGGUGCGUAACGCGUGGGAACCUGCCCUUAGGUUCGGAAUAACUCCCCGAAAGGGGUGCUAAUACCGGAUAAUGUCUUCGGACCAAAGAUUUAUCGCCUUUGGAUGGGCCCGCGUUGGAUUAGCUAGUUGGUAGGGUAAAAGCCUACCAAGGCGACGAUCCAUAGCUGGUUUGAGAGGAUGAUCAGCCACACUGGGACUGAGACACGGCCCAGACUCCUACGGGAUGCAGCAGUGGGGAAUAUUGGACAAUGGGCGAAAUCCUGAUCCAGCAAUGCCUCGUGAGUGAUUAAGGCCUUAGAGUUGUAAAGCUCUUUUACCCGGCAUGAUAAUGACAGUACCGAGAGAAUAAGCACCGGCUAACUCCGUG
rnacentral:rRNA from 1 species